rnacentral:lncRNA from 1 species
GGCCCGAUCCCGGACUCGCUCGCCCGCCUCCACAGCCUCGACUCCGUGGACCUCUCCAACAACAGGCUCACGGGCUCCAUCCCAAACUCCUUCGCCGACCUCCCGAACCUCCGCUCCCUCGACCUCCGCCGGAACCUCCUCACCGGCCCCAUCCCUGCCAGCCUCGUCCAGGGCCAGUUCAGGUCACUCAUCCUCUCCUACAACCAGCUGACCGGCCCGAUCCCGCGUGACGACGCGCAGGACGAGAUCAACACCGUGG